CAUUAGGUGGCCGAAAAUAAGCAAUGGAAUUUUAAACCAUAUUAUAGUAUAAAUUACUUCUAAUG
rnacentral:tRNA from 1 species